GGGGAUUUAGCUCAGCGGCAUAUGCACCUGCCUUGAAAGCAGGCGCUCGUAGGUUCAAUCCCCG
rnacentral:tRNA from 1 species